rnacentral:piRNA from 1 species
UGCAAUUUACUGAUUGUGUAGGUCUUCAAGCU